GACGAACGCUGGCGGCGUGCCUAAUACAUGCAAGUCGAGCGGACGGAUGGGAGCUUGCUCCCAGACCGUCAGCGGCGGACGGGUGAGUAACACGUGGGCAACCUGCCUGUAAGACUGGGAUAACUCCGGGAAACCGGGGCUAAUACCGGAUAACUCUUUCCCUCACAUGAGGGAAAGCUGAAAGAUGGCAUCUCGCUAUCACUUACAGAUGGGCCCGCGGCGCAUUAGCUAGUUGGUGAGGUAACGGCUCACCAAGGCGACGAUGCGUAGCCGACCUGAGAGGGUGAUCGGCCACACUAGGACUGAGACACGGCCCAGACUCCUACGAGAGGCAGCAGUAGGGAAUCUUCCGCAAUGGACGAAAGUCUGACGGAGCAACGCCGCGUGAGUGAUGAAGGUGUUCGGAUCGUAAAACUCUGUUGUCAGGGAAGAACAAGUACCGGAGUAACUGCCGGUACCUUGACGGUACCUGACCAGAAAGCCACGGCUAACUACGUG
rnacentral:rRNA from 1 species